rnacentral:rRNA from 1 species
CCUGGUCUUGACAUCCACGGAAUUCGGCAGAGAUGCCUUAGUGCCUUCGGGAACCGUGAGACAGGUGCUGCAUGGCUGUCGUCAGCUCGUGUUGUGAAAUGUUGGGUUAAGUCCCGCAACGAGCGCAACCCUUAUCCUUUGUUGCCAGCGGUCCGGCCGGGAACUCAAAGGAGACUGCCAGUGAUAAACUGGAGGAAGGUGGGGAUGACGUCAAGUCAUCAUGGCCCUUACGACCAGGGCUACACACGUGCUACAAUGGCGCAUACAAAGAGAAGCCACCUCGCGAGAGCAAGCGGACCUCAUAAAGCCCGUCUAUCCGGAUUGGAGUCUGCAACUCGACUCCAUGAAGUCGGAAUCGCUAGUAAUCGUGGAU